AAGAACAACAACUCUAGUCGAUUUGGAAAGUUGAUGGAAAUUCAUUUUAGUGCAACAGGAAGGAUAUGCAGUGCUAAAAUACAAACCUUACUUCUUGAAAA